rnacentral:rRNA from 1 species
AACGCUGGCGGCGUGCCUAAUACAUGCAAGUUGAGCGCUGAAGGUUGGUACUUGUACCGACUGGAUGAGCAGCGAACGGGUGAGUAACGCGUGGGGAAUCUGCCUUUGAGCGGGGGACAACAUUUGGAAACGAAUGCUAAUACCGCAUAAAAACUUUAAACACAAGUUUUAAGUUUGAAAGAUGCAAUUGCAUCACUCAAAGAUGAUCCCGCGUUGUAUUAGCUAGUUGGUGAGGUAAAGGCUCACCAAGGCGAUGAUACAUAGCCGACCUGAGAGGGUGAUCGGCCACAUUGGGACUGAGACACGGCCCAAAUCCUACGGGAGGCAGCAGUAGGGAAUCUUCGGCAAUGGACGAAAGUCUGACCGAGCAACGCCGCGUGAGUGAAGAAGGUUUUCGGAUCGUAAAACUCUGUUGGUAGAGAAGAACGUUGGUGAGAGUGGAAAGCUCAU